rnacentral:misc_RNA from 1 species
GGGGAAAUGAAGAUGAUGAAAUACACGUGGAACAAUGGGAGUGAAGCAUCAGAAAAUCGAACGGUGGAAACGUGGAUGACGUUAAGAUCGAAUUUCUAAUACGGUUCCCACACAUCGCGAUGACAAGUGCAGAUCCUUUCUUUUCUUUCCUUUGCUUUUGUUCCGACAAGAAAAUGACACCCACACACACCUCCACGUGUCCCUUUAUCUCCGCCGAUAAAUCCCCCUCUUUCCCCACGAAAAAUUUUCAAAUUCCAUCUGCAUACCAUCUCCUUCGUCCGUCCAUUCAUCAAAUGGUUUCUUCUUCUUCUUCUUCUU